rnacentral:sRNA from 1 species
GCUGGGCGCAGUGCUGCACGCCUGUCAUCCCAGUGGCUCAGGAGGCUGAGGCAGGAGGAUCGUGAGUUCAAAGCCAGCCUCAGCAAAAGCGAGGUGCUAAGCAGCUCAGUGAGACCCUGUCUCUA